GACGAACGCUGGCGGCGUGCCUAAUACAUGCAAGUCGAACGCAGUGGGGACGGGUGAGUAACACGUGGGUAACCUCCCAUCAGAGGGGAUAACACUUGGAAACAGGUGCUAAACCGAUACUGAUGGAUGAACCCGCGGUUCAUUAGCUAGUUGGUGAGGUAACGGCUCACCAAGGCCACGAUGCAUAGCCGACCGGAGAGGGGGAGCGGACACACUGGGACUGAACCAAGGCCCAGACGCCGACGGGAGGCAGAAGUAGGGAAUCGUCGGCAAUGGACGAAAGUCUUACCGAGCAACGCCGCGUGAGUGAAGAAGGUGUUCGGAUCGUAAAACUCUGUUGUUAGAGAAGCGGUAUCUAACCAGAAAGCCACGGCUAACUACGUGCCAGCCGCCGCGGUAAUAC
rnacentral:rRNA from 1 species